AAUUUUUUUUUAUAUCUUAUAGUAUUUGAUUCGUAAAAAAAAAGAGAUUUUUCAUCAGCAUUUGUUUAGUUGAAAGGCAAAAAAUUCAUAUCUGUUUGGUUUGGUAAAAAAAAGAAAAAAAAAUUUAUGCAGCUUCAGUUUUCGUUUUUCACUGAAAGACAGCGAAAUACGAAAACUUAAAUUUGUCCCCAAAUCUAAAAAUAUUUUUUUCGAAUCAAACAAGAGAAAA
rnacentral:lncRNA from 1 species